GAGACAAAUGCUGAUGGUGGCGGCAGCAACACCAAAACGCCUGUGUGGCUCCACUCCAGGUGUCCUCGGCGGAUAUGUGGCACAGCCCCCUCCCAACAAACACCAGGCUGGUGCUUGUUGCUGGCCCCACUGGAAUCAUGGGGGUGAAAUUGGGACACCUGGAAGGAUGCUGUCAGCCAGCUCUGUUGAAUGCCCACCUCAAACCUUAAUGUUCCUGCUACAAUCCCCCCUGAGAUGAUUACCUAGCCAAGCACCUGGCUGGCAGUUCACUGCAACAGUGUGAUGUCCUUCUGAGACGGAUGCCUACAGAGCUGACAAAUGCAGCCAAGUGGCUUGAAGCUUUGUAGGAAAGGAGAUACCCCUGAUCUUCUCCUACGGGAGUCAAGCGAAUGCUCUGCUGCUGAUCCCUGUGGGAGUAGGGACAGGACAUCCACGUGGAGCCCUGCAUUUGCACUGCCAAAGGGCUGCCUCACUGCGAAACCAGCCUCUGCAGUGCUUCAAAGCAGCCUCACGUCUGGCAACAGUUAACAGGAAGGAAGCUAAUUGGGUCCCCAAAGGGCAGCUCCUUCACACCGUUUCUGUGUCACUGUUGCAGGCAGCUGCUGCCUGGUCCUCACUGCGGAUUGUCCAAGAUGAAUUGUAUCACCUUGCCCUGCAGUCCCCCCGCUACCAGCCCCUCACAGUUUUUCCCCUUUCCCUAGGAAGGCUCGAGGGCAGGGAGGUACAGGCUCGGGAGCUGAUCCUGCCUGAUGCAGUGCAUCCUCCAGGUCACUUGAAGCCAGUGAGCUGAAAGCUCUGGAUCUCUUUCAGGGGUUUCUCAGUAUGCCAGCUCACUGCCCGAGCACCAAGGGCUACGGCCAUGCAUUUCGCCAGCACAGUUGGCUACAUAGCACAAUUUAGGGAGCAGAGGGGAACAGAACAUGAGGCAGAUAGCUUCUGACGGAUCAAUGUGCGUAGGAGCAGGGAGGAAAGCUGCAGUAGGUACAAAGGGCAUUGCAAAUGGUGCACUUGAGGGGAACAACUAACUGUAAGUUGAAUCCCAAAGCCGUGGCUCUUAGUGAGCAGACGGUGAGCACCUCACCUUUUGGGAGUGGGGACUGAACUUGUCUGCUGGCCUUGCACCCGGGGGUUCUGAGGGCCCUUGCUGCCUGCGUUCCGCUGUGCUCUGACACCCGCAGUCAGCCAGAGCCCAGGUGCUGUGCCCAGGGCUGCUGCAGGUCACAUCUGGCUCCUUAGAAGCAGCCAGAGGGGGAUGUUUCGACCUUCAGAGCAGGAGGAUUUCCUCGGUCUCUGCUGGAAGCAGAAACUGCUGAAGCACUUGCCUGUUGCUUUGUCGGAGUGGCCGGUGCAGCAGCGCAGGGUGAAGGGCCUGCUGCUGCGGGACGGGGCAGCCUGGCCUCCCCGCCUGAGACGGGGGACAGGGGGGCAGCGCGGGGAAGGCAGGGCUCCCCGAGAGCCACCUCCGAACGCGUCAGUGGUUUAAUCGCAGCCCUGCCCGUAGCCGGGACUUGUCAGCCCUGUGAAUGAAGCUGUCAUUCUCCCGAGCUGGUGACUCACAGGAGCAGCCGGAAAACAGCGCUAGCACGGCUGGCUGCUGCCCCUUUCUGGCGACAGGGGAGGGUGGCACUUGUGCGUCCCCCUCCUGCCUUGUUGCCGGGUCGGGGUGGGCACCCCAGGGCUCCGCAUUUACACAAGCAGCGAUGCCUGCGGGAUGAAGGCAGCCUUGGGGACGGCGCAGGGCCUGGCCCUGGCGGGGGGGUUAGCAGGGGUGUGCGCUAGCCCUGGCUCGGCUGUACCGGCUGGUGGGCACUGGGCCCCAGCCACGGGUCCUGGUCCUGCAAAAUGGACCUUCUCAGGUGGCCACAAGCAGGUGGAGCCGUGCCCUGCCCUGCCUGG